rnacentral:rRNA from 1 species
GAUGAACGCUGGCGGCGUGCCUAAUACAUGCAAGUCGAGCGAAUGGAUUAAGAGCUUGCUCUUAUGAAGUUAGCGGCGGACGGGUGAGUAACACGUGGGUAACCUGCCCAUAAGACUGGGAUAACUCCGGGAACCGGGGCUAAUACCGGAUAACAUUUUGAACCGCAUGGUUCGAAAUUGAAAGGCGGCUUCGGCUUGCACUUAUGGAUGGACCCGGGUCGCAUUAGCUAGUUGGUGGGGUAACGGGUCACCAAGGCAACGAUGCGUAGCCGACCUGAGAGGGUGAUCGGCCACACUGGGGCUGAGACACGGCCCAGACUCCUACGGGAGGCAGCAGUAGGGAAUCUUCCGCAAUGGACGAAAGUCUGACGGAGCAACACCGCGUGAGUGAUGAAGGCUUUCGGGUCGUAAAACUCUGUUGUUAGGGAAGAACAAGUGCUAGUUGAAUAAGCUGGCACCUUGACGGUACCUAACCAGAAAGCCACGGCUAACUACGUGCCAGCAGCCGCGGUAA